ensembl:scaRNA
AGCGUCCCUCCCUCGGGGCUGUGGGGGUCCCUUUUCUUUUCAGCCAGGGCUGGAACCCAAGAUCAGCCCUCACUAAGGACCACUGUCGGGACUGUACAAGGUGGUAAGUCUUGUUUUCCUACCUCCGGCAGCU